UACAUUAGUCAUUGUGUGAAUGUUGAUGAUCCUAUAGUUGAUAUACAUUAGUCAUUGUGUGAAGGUCGAUGAUCCUAUAGUUGAUAUACAUUAGUCAUUGCGUGAAGGUCGAUGAUCCUAUAGUUGAUAUACAUUAGUCAUUGUGUGAAGGUUGAUGAUCCUAUUGUUGAUAUACAUUAGUUAUUGUGUGAAGGUUGAUGAUCAUAUAGUUGAUAUACAUUAGUCAUUGUGUGAAGGUUGAUGAUCCUAUAGUUGAUAUACAUUAGUCAUUGCG